rnacentral:rRNA from 1 species
UACGAAGGGGGCUAGCGUUGUUCGGAUUUACUGGGCGUAAAGCGCACGUAGGCGGAUUGUUAAGUGAGGGGUGAAAUCCCAGGGCUCAACCCUGGAACUGCCUUUCAUACUGGCAAUCUUGAGUCCGGAAGAGGUGAGUGGAACUCCUAGUGUAGAGGUGGAAUUCGUAGAUAUUAGGAAGAACACCAGUGGCGAAGGCGGCUCACUGGUCCGGUACUGACGCUGAGGUGCGAAAGCGUGGGGAGCGAACAGG